AACGCAUCUUGCGCCCCUUGGUAUUCCGAGGAGCAUGCCUGUUUGAGUGUCAUUUGACCUUCUCUCAACCAUAUCAGUCAAUGAUGUGGCUUGGAUGUGGGAUUGCAGGCUUCGAGUAUGAAGUCCAGCUCUCCUGAAAUGCAUUAGUGGUAUCUGUCUGAGCUGCUAUUUGGUGUGAUAACUUAUCUAUGCCUUUUUGGUGAUCAGCACCGCUCAUAACCUACCAAAUUUGACAAAUUUGACCUCAAAUCAGGUAGGACUACCCGCUGAACUUAA
rnacentral:misc_RNA from 1 species